rnacentral:rRNA from 1 species
UACGUAGGGCGCAAGCGUUGUCCGGAAUUAUUGGGCGUAAAGAGCUCGUAGGCGGCCUGUUGCGUCCGCUGUGAAAUCCCGGGGCUCAACCCCGGGCGUGCAGUGGAUACGGGCUGGCUGGAGGCAGGCAGGGGAGAACGGAAUUCCUGGUGUAGCGGUGAAAUGCGCAGAUAUCAGGAGGAAUACCGGUGGCGAAGGCGGUUCUCUGGGCCUGUACUGACGCUGAGGAGCGAAAGCGUGGGGAGCGAACAGG